rnacentral:rRNA from 1 species
GAUGAACGCUGGCGGCGUGCCUAAUACAUGCAAGUCGAGCGAACGGACGAGAAGCUUGCUUCUCUGAUGUUGCGGCGGACGGGUGAGUAACACGUGGAUAACCUACCUAUAAGACUGGGAUAACUUCGGGAAACCGUAGCUAAUACCGGAUAAUAUUUUGAACCGCAUGGUUCAAAAGUGAAAGACGGUCUUGCUGUCACUUAUAGAUGGAUCCGCGCUGCAUUAGCUAGUUGGUAAGGUAACGGCUUACCAAGGCAACGAUGCAUAGCCGACCUGAGAGGGUGAUCGGCCACACUGGAACUGAGACACGGUCCAGACUCCUACGGGAGGCAGCAGUAGGGAAUCUUCCGCAAUGGGCGAAAGCCUGACGGAGCAACGCCGCGUGAGUGAUGAAGGUCUUCGGAUCGUAAAACUCUGUUAUUAGGGAAGAACAUAUGUGUAAGUAACUGUGCACAUCUUGACGGUACCUAAUCAGAAAGCCACGGCUAACUACGUG